rnacentral:rRNA from 1 species
GAUGAACGCUGGCGGCGUGCCUAAUACAUGCAAGUCGAGCGAACAGACGAUGCUCUUGCUCCUCUCACGUUAGCGGCGGACGGGUGAGUAACACGUGUAUCACCUACCUAUAAGACUGGUAUCACUUCGAGAAACCGGCUCUUAUACCAUAUAAUAUAUUGAACCGCAUUGUUCAAUAGUGAAAGACGGCUUUGCUGUCACUUCUAGAUGGAUCGGCGCCGCAUGAGAUAGUUGUUAAGUUCACGGCUUACCAAGGCAACGAUGCGUAGCCGAACUGUGAGGCUGGUAGGCCACACGGGAACGGAACCACGGACAAGAGUCCUAAGGGAGGGAGCAGUAGGGAACCGUACGCAAUGGGCGAAAGCAUUACGCAGUAACGGGGAGUGAGAGAUGAAGGCGUCCGGAUCGGAAAAACCUGUUACUAGGGAAAAACAAAUGUGGAAGUAAAUAUGCAGGUAUUGACGGUAAUUAAUAAGAAAGCAACGGCUAACUACGUG